rnacentral:rRNA from 1 species
UACAGAGGGUGCAAGCGUUGUUCGGAAUUAUUGGGCGUAAAGCGCGUGUAGGCGGCAGUGCAAGUCGGGUGUGAAAGCCCUCAGCUCAACUGAGGAAGUGCGCCCGAAACUGCAUUGCUUGAGUACCGGAGAGGAUGGCGGAAUUCCCGAAGUAGAGGUGAAAUUCGUAGAUAUCGGGAGGAACACCGGUGGCGAAGGCGGCCAUCUGGACGGAUACUGACGCUGAGACGCGAAAGCGUGGGGAGCGAACAGG